rnacentral:tRNA from 1 species
CAGAGGAUAGUUUAAUUAAAAUUUUAAUUUUGGAGAUUAAAGAUAGGAAAAAAUUUCUUCUUCUGA